rnacentral:lncRNA from 1 species
GGCCUAGAAACUCACUUUACUCGGUCCGUCACUAAGCAAACGCACCCCCCCUUUUCAAUUACCCUUCAUUCCCCAUCUCCCCCAAACCCUAAAGACGCCAACCUUCAUCCCUUUCUCUUUAUCACCCAAACGACCACCAACUCCUAGACCACAUGCCCAAACGACCAGCUCCAAAUGACCCUCGCCACUGACCAGAUCCACCCGUUCAGCUCACCGUCGACGAGCAUCACCUCCAGCCAAACGUCGGCCUCCAUCAAUAACCAAGGUCACUGACCAAACGAUCACACAAUUCCUUCACCAUACCAGCCUCACGCCUUCCAAACACACUGACCAAACGACCCUUCAGUCGUACAACAACCAUUGUUGCUGCUUCGCUUAUGCUUCCUCACCCCCAGCAGCAACCAAACGACCCUUUUCCAUUAUCGUCCAAACGACCACUGCUCGUCCUCAAUCCUUCAGUCGUCGUCUUUUGAGUUCAAGUCUGUCCGUCGGAAUUCCCAUUUUUCCGGCAAGGUCUGGUUCUGUUCCUAACUCCAAGGUUUGGUUUUGUUUACUUUUUGUUGGUUUUCAUUUGUUGCACGGUUCAAGUUUGGGUAGCUAUGGAAUAUUUUUUAUCUCUCUAAGGCCGGUCAGUCCAUUCAGCAUAUUAUUAGUGAUCAUUCAAUUUUUUUUAUCUAAGGUUAAUCGUUAUUUUUGUUCCAAUAUGGUUAGUUUGCUUCCUUGUAUAGGUGUGAAUCAAUUUUGACCUUAUUAGUUCAAUACAAUAGUUUUGAAUCAUUGAACCCUUGAUCUUGGUUGUAAUGAUGUUGGGUUUACUUUGAAGUUCGAUUGAUGAUUGAGUUUAGUGAUUUGAAUCUGCGUGUUUGUUCUGUUAAGUUUGUUUCUGGUAUGAAUCUGAUCUUGUUGACUUGUCCUAAUGUUGUUGAUUGGGAGUUAGUUUCAUGUGUUUAAUAGUCUAUUAUUAGGAGGAUUGGAUAUAGCUGAUGGGGUAGCAUGGUAAUUACAGUAAUCUCAAGGGGUAUUUUGGGGUUUUCAAAAAGAUUGAAAUGGUCAUAUUAGUGGUUUGUCCAGUAGGGUACUAAGUUGCCAUUUGAAAUAAUAAAUUGUUUAAGUGAUAGUGGGGAACAAAACAUAAUGGUAUAGGGGGACCACUAAGUCUAAAGUAAUACACUAAUGAAUUAGUCAAAAGAGGGGACAAUUUUAAGUGGGAUUGAAAGUUAAAAGACAACUAAUAGUGGAAGACUACUUUCUGCUUUUGGUAGAUCAAUUUGAGAAUAAUUAACUAUCCACUAAGGCCUAAAAAUCCAGAAAAGAAAAGAUGAUUGAAAAUUAGAGAAUGGAAUAAAAUGGAGAACGUUUUUCUUGAAGUGGGGAUCAGUUUUUAGGACUGGAUUUUGAAUGUAAAAAAUGGGUCAGAGAUUGAGAGAAAAACUAAAGAAAUUUGUUUUAUUUUACUACUGAAAUUAUUAUUAGUUACUGUUUUACUUGAGAGUUAGAGAACCUGAGAGUUUUCAUUGCAUCUCUUGGUUAAGUCUGUUUUGUUUCUGGUCUAUCUGUGUUGCUGUUUGGUACUUCUGAAUUGCAAUUUGUGGUCCUGAGUUUGCUGCUGGUUAAACAAAACUGUUCCAUUGGUUGUUUGCUGGGUUUUAAUCUGCCUAUUGCUGGUUGUUGUUGUUUGCUACUGUUCUACUAAUUCUCAUCUUCUUCUUCUCUUGUUUCCAAUAUGAGGUACACAACUGAUACACAUUGUAAGCUGAAAUAUUGAAGCAUGAAUGCAUAUAAAAUGGAAGUUGAAGUUUUAAUUUAACUUAUUCUUUUCUUUCCUCUGACUGCCGCCUAAUAUUGUUAUAUAGAACUCUGCCAUGUGAAAUGCAUAACUGGACAAUCUUUUUUUUUUAUAGUAGUUUAGCUGUGAACUUCCCAUGUAUGCUCUUAGAUAAAAAGGAUUGAUGGUGUAGUAAACAAUUUUCUGUUAUUUUAGUUUGCUUGUUAAGUAGCAUAUUUCAAACGCAUGUCAUGUCUUAGGCCAUUUUAAUUACUAGGUAAUCUAAGUUACCUCAUUUAACAGACUUCCUCUCUUAAACUUGCAACAAUUUGUUAAUUAAAUAUCAUCAUUUUUACAUUUCAGCUUUGCAAAACUGUGAACCUGUGUAGAAUAAAUUAACUAGGCCCAAUAUUUGAAUAAGAUGGCCCAGGUCCAGUUUAACACUACAUGAGUUGGACAUGGGCCCAUGUUGGCAAACGAACUGUCCAUAUGCACGCCUAUAUUCUGAUGUUUACAGACUUUGUUCGGAACUUGAUAAUAGCAAUUCUUAAGCAUGUAAUUUAAUUAGGUCUUUUUUCUUCUUUCAUUUUUAGAGACGAACUUAAUAGAAAAACGUAGUCACAAUAGGAUGAUCCUUUUAAAAUAAGCGAGAUGAGCCCGCCAAGUAGAACGCACAAGUUGCAGGGCCCUCAAUAAAUGAAUAUAAUGAUUGGAUAGACUUCGGGAUAGGCCGUUUAGAAAAUUUCACGGCCUUACUCAAAAUAAUAAUACGCUAGUAGCUUUAGGUGCGUCUUUAAUAAAUUACUUUCUUAAAUUUGGGUUUGUAUUUAUGUGACCCAAAUCCAAAUCUCAACGGAGUCGAAAUGUGUCGAUAACCAUGGGUACAUUGAUUGUGACGUGGUUCGAGAUGCGUUUUCAUAAUAUUGCAAUUCUUUGUUAAAACAACAACAACAACAACAACAACAACAAUAAUAAUAAUAAUAAUAAUAAUAAUAAUAAUAAAGUGGCAAAAGAGUUAUAACUUGCAUAUAAGUUCAUAUUUGUAUAAAAAUCAAAUAAAUAAUCUAAAUAUGACAGUUUAGCGACAAUGCUAGAACCACGAAAUUCGGAAAUGCCUAACAUCUUCUCCGGGGUUAACAGAAUUCCUUAUCCGGAUUUCUGGUGCGCUGACUGUUAAACAGAGUCAUUCUUUUCCCCGAUUCGGGAUUAAAACCGGUGACUUGGGACACCAUAAAUCUCCCAAGUGGCGACUCUGAAUCCUAAUUAUUAAGUCUCAUUUCGAUUGUCCUUUAAUUGGAAAAACUCCACUAUGCCCCUGCGGGCGCGGGUAAAAUGGAGGUGUGACAGACGAAUGUCACCAAACGUAAGCUCCUUAAAAUCUCCACUUUCUUUUAUUUUCAGAAUGCAUCAUUACUGUUCAUACCUCCCAUUUUACGUAGCUUAACUCAGGUAGAACCAUUUCGCCUAGGGGAUCCAGCUCAUAGUUCCGGGUAGAAGUAUUCUUCGCUUAGGGUGUUUUACGUAGCUUAACUCAGGUAGAACUGUUUCACCUAGGGGAUCCAGCUCAUAGUUUCGGAUAGAAGUACUCUUCGCUCAUGGUAUUUUACGUAGCUUAAAUCAGGUAGAACUAUUUCGGCUAAGGGGAUCUAGCUCAUAGUUUCGCUCAUAGUUCCAGGUAGAAGUACCCUUCGCUCUGGUGUUUUACGUAGCUUAACUCAAGUAGAACCAUUUUGCCUAGGGGGAUCCAGCUCGUAGUUCCGGGUAGAAGUACUCUCUGCUCAGGGUGUUUUAUGUAGCUUAACUCAGGUAGAACCAUUUCUUCUAGAGGGAUCCAGCUCAUAGUUCCAGGUAGAAGUAUUCUUCUCUCAGGGUAUUUUAUAUAGCUUCACUUAGGUAGAACCUUUUUCAACUAGGGGGAUCCAGCUCAUAGUCCAUGUAGAAGUACUUAUCGCUUAGGUUAUUUUAUAUAGUUUAACUGAGGUAGAACCUUUUCACCUAUAGGGAUUCAUCAUUUCAUCAAUAACACAGGGCGCCAACCCUAGUUAUAUUCCUUUCAGUAACAGGGCGCCAACCCCUAGUUACUUUGUUUUUUCUGUAAUACAGGGUGCCAACCCCUGGUUCCAUUUCAUUUCAGUAAUACAGGGUACCAGACCCUGAUUACAUUCCUUCCUAGUGAUACAAGGUGCCAACCCUUGGUUAGGUUCCUUAAUACAAGGUGUCAACCCCUGGUUACAUUUCUUCCAGUAGUACAAGGUGCCAAAACCUCGUUACGUUCCUUUCUAGUAAUACAGGGUGUCAAUCCCAUGUUACGUCCCUUUUUAAUAAUAUAGGGUACCAUCCUCUAAUUCCAUUUCCUUUGGUAACAUAAGGUACUAGCCCUCGUGCUUGCAUAUCCUCACAUAGCUAGUUUAUACUACUGCCUUUGCCUUCAUUUCAAUAAAUUAGAUACUUUAUAGCUUUCUCUAACUCACAAAAUUUUCCUUGUGCCAAACUGGGGUAGAAAAGUUUUGUUUGUUUUUUUUCAUCUUUGAUGGCGUUGCAGGCUCCGCCGUAUGGCACAAAUGACGACUAAAGCUUGCAAUUUUAGUUUCUCAUCAGAAGAAAGAAGUUUUCGAUCACAAGACAGUUAGAGUUAGCUUUGAUAAUGUGUCAGCAAGACCAACUUCUCAAGAUCCAUUUUCUUAUAUUCUGAUUCGGAAAGCAAGCAAUCGAGAAGGAGCCCUAAUCUUUUCUUCAAAGAGCAUCAAGAUCCAAUCUAAGGUCAAAACAAGGAGAAUGCCAAGAAUCAAGAUUUGGCUCCACAAGACAUAUAUAUAUAUAUAUAUAUAUAUAUAUAUAUAUAUAUAUAGGAAUUUCGUAACUCUUAGCUUGCAGGCAUAUGUAGUUCUCUUCUCUUUUCCUUUUGAUGUAACAACAAGUAACAAUAACAACAACAAUAGUAGUCUUAAAUCUAGUGUCCGGUAGUCUCAUGUCACGACCCUAGUUCAACAAUCGUGAACCUGUCAUGACGGCACCCAGUCUUUGCGACUAGGUAAGCCUGACACAUCGCCCAAAUUCAACAAUCCUUACGAAAAACGAUAAAUAAAACAUAAAUAGCAUAAGAUAAUGUAUAGAGUGCCGCUUGGCACACACAUGUCGACUCAAGAUAAUGUAAAAAAUUCCAAGACCCGGAAACCCACGGGAAACACAGGCUAAUAGUGAAAUAUAAUAUACGGCUCUAACAACCAGGAGUGUCUACAACUAGUGAGUACAUGAAUGAAACUACUAGCCUAAGGUAGAAUAGAAUGAGACUUUUCGGCUCUGCGGACGCGACAGAUGUAUACCUCGAAUCUCCAAGUGUAGCUGCGAGAUCACUAAUAGCGCUCACAGCCAGAAGUACCUGGAUCUGCAGAACAAAACUAUGCAGAAGAGUAGCAUGAGUACACCACAACGGUACUCAGUAAGUGCCAAGCCUAACCUCGGUUGUGUAGUGACGAGAAAGGUCGAGGCCCUACUGAGAUAAACAUAAGAUUAGAUAUGAAAUGAAUAGACAAUAGGAAAUACAAUAAAUCUCGAUUAUCUAACAAACAAUAAGUAGAACGGAAUAGGCUAGAAAUACAAUCUACGAAUACAAUAUCAACACUCAAAAUCAGGAUGCCACAUGUAGCUCCGGGAAUUGAACUCGCAGUCCAUUUUACAAUUAUCCGAGGAUCUCUAGGAAUCGAACCCGCAGUGCAUCGCCACAUAGAGCUCCGGGAAUUGAACCUACAGUCCACUCUACCAAUAUCCGAGGAACUCCGGGAAUCGAACCCGCAGUCCACUCUACCAAUAUCUGAGGAUCUCCGGGAAUAGAACCCGCACUCCAUCAUACCAAUAUCAGAGGAUCUCCAGGGAAUCAAACUCGUAGUCCAUCAUAUCAAUAACAAAGGAUCUCCCAGGUAUUGAACCCGUAGUCCAUCAUAUCAAUAAUAGAGGAUCUCCUGGGAAUUGAACCCGUAGUCCAUCAUAUCAAUAACAGAGGAUCUUUCGGGAAUUGAACUCGUAGUCCAUCAUAUCAAUAACAAAGGAUCUCCCGGAAAUUGAACUCGUAGUACAUCAUAUCAAUAACAAAGGAUCUCUCGAGAAUUGAACCCGCAGUCUAACAUAUCAGUAAACACAUCACAACAAUUCAAUAUUUUAAAAAAAGAAGCUAAGUACAAGUAACAUGUAAGUUGUAGAGUCUAGAAUGCUCACAAAAAAGGACAGAUAUUGCAAUUUAGUCAGUUACAGCAAAUAAGUUAAAACAUGCUUUCCUUAAGCUAAAACAAGUGAAAUUUGCAUUUUUGACAGUUAAUCAGUGAAGAAACACAGUCUAAAUAAGUCAAGUAAGCUGGAUUUUCAAGAACUAGCACAAGUACACGCCUGUCACCUCGCGCACAAGGCAUUUAAACAAUAAUAAAGAUAUCCUAAGGGGAGAGGUCCCCCACAUAAAGUUAGACAAGUCACUUACCUCGAAUUGGUACAAAACCAAUAAGAAACAAUGCCCUUGCCACGAGUAUCCGACUCCGAGUGGCCCAAAUCUAUUCAAACCAAUUACAUAUUGUAAAUAACAUCGCAAGUAACUAAUUACACUGUUAAAAUUAAAGCAGAAGCAUGAAAAUAUGUGAAAUGACCAAAAUGCCCCUCAGGCCAAUAUCUCGGAAUCGAAUAAUUUUACAUAUUCAGAAACCUGUACUCUUACGAGUCUAACCAAAUAAAAAUCUCCCAAAAUCGGAGGUCAUAUACCCCUUCAAAUCAUCAAAGUUAGGUCUAAAAAUUUUACCCCAAUUUUCAUUCAAAAUCCGAAAUUAAAGCUUGAAUUCGAGAUUAGAUUAGCGAGUAAUAAUCAUAAUGGAGUAAGGAAUUGCUACCCAAUGUUUGCCUCUGAAAAUCCCUCGAAAAAUCUCUCAACACCGAGCUCUCUAGCUUGAGUUUGAUGAAAAUGGAAGAAACCUCGUUUUUGAAAUAUUAAUGUAUGCCUAGGUAUUUAGUGAAUCGCGAUCGCGAAGAGAGGGAUGCGAUGGAGAAGAUUAAAAUAUAGUCUUCCAUAAAAAAGCCCUACACGAUCGCGGAAAAGAGCACGCGAUCGCGAACGAGGAUGAAAUGGCCAUACACGAUCGCGUAAGAAGGAAUGCGAACGUGAAGCGGGGAGAGGUAGAGUUACGCGAUUGCGAUUAAGGAAUUAGGGACCUUACCAGAUUGUACUAUGCGGUCGCGUGAAUUGGAACGUGAUCGUGAAGAAGGAAAAAUUGGUUUGGAACAACUGAAGAAUUCUGCAAUGUUUUCAACUCCAAAAAUGCUCCGUUGAGCAUCUGAAACACACCCGAGGCCCCCGGGACCUCAAUCAAACCUACAGACAUAUCCCAUAAUACCACUCAAACUUGUACCAAUCCUUAAACCAUCUAAAACAACCCCGGAAACUCGAAUUAAUCAAUGAUUUGAACUUAAAAACUUCAAAACAUAACCAAACUCUCGUUCGAUUCAAAACCUAACCAAAACACGUCUGAUUGACCUGAAAGUUUGCACGCACGUCCCAAAUGACAUGACGGUGCUAUAGAAACUUCCGGAAUCCCGUUCCGACCCUCGAAUCAAAAAUUCACUAUCGGACCGGAAACUUCAAAAUUCUAACUUUCGGCAUUUAUAGCCUAAAUGAGCAACGUACAUCCAAAAUACAUUCCGAACACGCUCCCAAACCCCGAAAUCAUCUAACGGGGCUAACGGAACCAACGGUUUUCCAUUCCGAGGUCGUCUUGACACUGUUCUAAUUAUGGACCCUUUUCCAACUCUUAAACUCUCAUUUAGGGACUAAGUGUCCCAAAACACUCCGAAUUCUAUUACCGAACAUCCCGACAAGAAAAAAUAGCAGAAAUGAACUUAGGGGAAGCAGAAAAUGGUCAAACGAGGCAUAAAUUCUAAUGUCCAAAAUACAUUUCGAACACGCUCCCAACCCCCAAAUCACCUAACGGAGCUAAUAGAACCAUCAUGUUUCCAUUCCGAGGUUGUCUUGACAUUGUUCUGAUUACACACCAUUUUUCAACACUUAAGCUCUCAUUUAGGGACUAAGUGUCCCAAACAUUCCGAGUUCUAUUACCGAACAUCCCAGCAAACCAAAAUAGCAGAAAUGAACUUAGGGGAAACAGUUAAUGGGGAAACGGGGCUUAAAUUCCAAAGACGACCGGCCGGGUCGUCACAUCUUAUCUAUCAAUUUUUUCGAGAACUAUACCAACCUGAUUCCUUUAUAGCCAGGGAUAUGUAGCCAACCUCAAAAGCAUGGUUCGAUUACAUUUUUCAAACAUGCUUUCAUCGGAGUGAUACACGAGCAAAAUUAGCUAUGCCAUUUAUUUUCUUUGCAUGAAACUCUUCAUGUUCUCGAGCAAAGAGGGGUAUCUGUAGAUAUCUAAUUUUUGCUCUUUCUUUUUCUCCUACAUUACAUUGUUUUCUAGGUUUAUUAAAUGUGGUUAUAGAAUUUAGCAUUAGAUUAUUAACUAAUUUGUUAAGGGGUUUAAGGGAAUGGAUUAAUGCCCAUUUUAGUUGACCUAUACAAAACUCAGGCAUAAUUGUUUAGCCCAAUUCGGCAGACCUAGUCCAGUUGAUGGUUGGCUAAGACCCGGUUCAAAAUGGCAUAGUUUCAUGUUUUAUCAACUGAAACCAAAACUCAAUCCCACUCAUCCAUUCCCUCAUGAUCCAACGGCUCUAAUUCAAUACACUUCCUAAUUAUUUAAAGCUUAGAAUCCCUGAAAAUUGCCCCCAUUAUCCCUUUAUUUCUUUCCUUCUUCCUCUCUUUUCACUCUCCCCUUCUCCUUCGAGACCUCGCCACCCGCCGCCCUGCUUCGCCACCAGCAAUCGCCUACUUACGGCAGCCGUCCUACAAACACCCCCAAAUUACACUGAUAUUCUCCUCUCUUCAUCAUCUACCCAUAUCUAAACCCCAAAUCCCCAAAAUCACCCCCAAUCUCCUAAAUCAACCUAAAUUUGAAUAAACCCUAGCUACCAGCACCCUCAAAUCCAGCAAGAUCUAACCUCCCGCACCCUGUAAUCCAUGCAUAAAUGGAUUGAUCUCGUUGAGAUAUAUCCUUUCCUAUAUGUUUCACCCCUAAAAUCCUUGUCGUCGUUGGCCAACCAGCCUCACUAUCGACCCUCCACUACUAUGGCACCGCUCCUCCUCUAUUAUAGCCUAAUUCCGACCCAAGAACACUCGUUUCCUUUAGGUAUGACACCAAGUUCAUUGAAUUUGGUGUCUACCAAAAUGAAAUAAGUGUUACAUGGUUAGGUAGCCACUUGUUGGCUUCUCUGACGUCUUCUUGAUCACGCCCAACUAUACUUUAUAAAAAGGACACACACACAUUGCAAAUAUAGUCUGGGUAUUAAUGCCCAGAGUUUCACUCAAAGGGCAUUAACUUAUCAAUUACUUUCUUUGGAUGUACUGAAUUCUAUGGAAUCAACUUCCCCAAAAUUUAUAAAUCACAGUUUAUGGUAUUAUUAAUAACUAAGACUGAAAGUAAAUAGACAACUGAAAACUAAUUAUGUUUGAGUUGUAAACAAUUUUGAGAAGGUUCUAAGGCUAUUAUUUCCCCUAUUGAUGGAAUCCCUUCCGGUUAUGUUUCAUAUAAAUUAACCAACACAUCUCUAUUAAUCAUGAGCACUAUAUUGACCGUAAAUAUCUCCCAAAUAAUCAGAAUAAUAUACUAGACGCACUCUCCCGAGAUACGCUAGCUAGCUUAGUUCAUUACAGCUCACGUUAUAUUUCACCCAAGGAUUUAUUAUCCCUAAUCCCGCCUUUAAACUCGCAGUUAUAGAUCUUUCUCAUACUUUGGGAGUGAUGUUAUUCAACAACUACCUAAAUAUGCACUCUCUCCCCAGUUAUGCACACUAAAUAGGCAUAGCUAAUCCCGCCUUCAAUAGGUUCCAUCAAAACCCUAGACAAAGGAUUUAGCUACUCGUAACAAAGUAAGAGAAAAAUACUAAAUUAUUCAUGAUGUAAAUAUUGCAAGAAAUAAAAAAGAUAAAGAACUAUAAUGUUUUUGGGUGAUCUCUCACACUUGUUCCUCCUCCAAACGUAAUCGAAAAACAUUUUUUUUAUCUUGGGCGAGUUUCAACAUGUUAUAAGGGUUUUACAUAAGUUUCCCUUAAUUGACACUUUGGCCCCCAAAUUUCCAGGUUCAAGAACAGUUCACCGCGGCCGGCGUGGACGACGGUGCACACUUCCCAGCUUAUUUUUGUGUUUUAUCUCCGUGCGCUGCACCGAGGUCGCGGUGGACUUUUGCCCUGGUCAUUUUCUUCUGCUCAUUUGUGUUCGUGUACUUCUUGAGUGGGUGUUUUCCUCACAUUAUCACCUCCAAACACUUCAUGUUGCUUCCUCACAUAUAAUAUUCCCUGCGAAACCGAAUAACACUAUUUAGAGCAUUUUGUUGACAAUUUACCUUAUAAAAAAACAAUAAAGCAAGAGCAAUUAAGGAGUAAAUAUCAACUAUAUAGCCUACUAUCGCUUCUGGUGGCUCGAACAGCUUCAAGCACGCUCGAUAGACAUAACAGUCAUCUCUUUAAUUUAUUUCUAAUUUUUUAGUAGUAAUAGGUCAGUUCCUGAUUUUUAGUAGUAAUUAGUUAUCUCGAUUUGAUUAAGUUGUUAGUUAGAUUGUUAUUGUUUAACGUGAUCUUUAGUUUAUUAGUUAAAUUGUUUACUUAAUUAAUCGAUUGUUUAGCUGUUGAACGUCAUCGUUCGAUUGUAAGUGAUGCUCGUCUAAUUUCUAUUUUUAGCAUUAGUUUGUGAAUUCAGUUGUUUGUUCUAUGGUUAGUUUGUACAAAUCAAUUUGUUUUAAUCUAGUUAGUUUGAGUUUUAGUUCCAUUUGAAGUAUUGUUUUUGUUUUGUCAAUUGUUAGUUGUUUGAGUUUAUUUUGGUUCAAAAUUAACACGGUGUUAUUGAUGUUGUUAAAAUAUGAAGUUUAGAUGGGUUUGAUCAUGACUUAGAGUAAUAGUAGCAUACGUUUUACUAGUAGGGUGGUUGAAAUGUCUCUUUGCUUCUGCUACAGCAGGUUUUCAAGCUGUCCGUUCAGCUUUUGGACAACCUUUGAACAAUGUAUAACAUAGAAAGUUAGUCCUUGUUGGAAAAACUUUUUGUGAACCAAUAUCUGUCCAAAAAAUGACUUUAUUUACCUAUUUAAGGGGCCUGCUCUUCCUCACUUCACACACACUCUAUCUUACACUUACACACUUCUCUAGAAUUGCUUGAACACCCAUCUUUGAAUAAAAAAUCAGCAGUUGAUUACUUUAGUAUGUUGAAAUUUGUGAGCUUUGUGAGUAACUCCUAGAGUGAAAAAUCAUUAAGAAAAUAGAGCAAUCAUUUGUCUAAGUUAUGAGUUUGUUAGUUACUAGUUUCAAGUGUCUUCACGCGAUUUUCUCAGUUGUUUCUAACACUGAUUUGCUGCUGGUUGUUACUAUUUUUCUGCUAUUUUUGCUGUUGUUUAUGCUCACUUCACUACUAUUUAUUUUUCUAUUCUCCAGGUAAUCCUUUAAGACUCGUAAUGUAUAUCUUCUCAGCAAUAUGAACAACUUGAACCUGCUGCACUAUUUAAACGUAUUUGAUAUGAUGAUAGUUUGAUAUCGACAAGGGCUUGGAUGUUCUUGUUAUGUAUCAAGCAUGUAAUAAUGUGAAUAUAGUCCUUUAUAAUACUUGAAUAUCGAGUUGUGAGCUUUUGAGUAUGAUAUGUAAGUCUUAUAUGGGGUUUUCAGUAUGCUUUCAAGCUAUUGUAUUCGGGUAAGAAUGCUAAGUAUGCAAUGAAUGAAUUUAAGGGUAUGACACAUAGCAUGUUUCUUUUUAGUUGCUAAAAUUACACUGCCGAUAUAUGUUUAUGGGAAUGCUGUAGUGAUAUCCUUGUGAAUUUGACUAUUUUUCCGGACUUGCAAAAGUUGCUAUUUUUUAAAGUGGGCGUUUAUACAAUUGUGACUAUGUAGUUAGUGGUCAUUAAUGCAAAUUGAGUAAAGAGCUAAGAUUGUAUAUUGUCUGACUUAUUGAAUCAAAUCAAAGCUGGCCUCAUUUACCUUUAAAAAACAAAAUUUCCCCUUUUCUUCUAUAUAGCUAAUUGGCCAAAUGAAUCCAUUCCGUUGGCUCAUUUUCAAUAAUAAUUCAGCUAUCCCAUAUAUUUUAGUAUUUCCAACUGGGCCAAUAAUAUUCUAGUCUACUAGCUUCCCAUUCUUUAAUGAAUCAUUAAAUUAACUCAAUGCCUUGCAAUAUCAC